UACAGAGGGUCCGAGCGUUGUCCGGAUUCAUUGGGCGUAAAGGGCGCGUAGGCGGCGCGGAAAGUCUGUUGUGAAAUCCCGGGGCUCAACCCUGGAACUGCAUUGGAUACUUCCUUGCUAGAGUACUGGAGAGGAGAUUGGAAUUUACGGUGUAGCAGUGAAAUGCGUAGAUAUCGUAAGGAAGACCAGUGGCGAAGGCGAAUCUCUGGACAGUUACUGACACUGAGGCACGAAGGCCAGGGGAGCAAACAGG
rnacentral:rRNA from 1 species